AGUGAACGCUGGCGGUAGGCCUAACACAUGCAAGUCGAACGGCAGCACAGUAAGAGCUUGCUCUUACGGGUUGCGAGUGGCGGACGGGUGAGGAAUACAUCGUAAUCUACUUUUUCGUGGGGGAUAACAUAGGGAAACUUACGCUAAUACCGCAUACGACCUACGGUUGAAAGCAGGGGAUCUUCGGACCUUGCGCGAUUGAAUGCGCCGAUGUCGGAUUAGCUAGUUGGCGGGGUAAAGGCCCACCAAGGCGACGAUCCGUAGCUGGUCUGAGAGGAUGGUCGGCCACACUGGAAGUUGGACGCGGUCCAGAGUCCUAAGGGAGGCAGCAGUGGGGAAUAUUGGACAAUGGGCGGAAGCCUGAUCCAGCCAUACCACGUCGGUGAAGAAGGCGUUCGGGGUGUAAAGCCCUUUUGUUGGGAAAGAAAAGCAGCAGCUUAAGACCCCGCUGUUCUGACGGUAACCAAAGAAUAAGCACCGGCUAACUUCGUG
rnacentral:rRNA from 1 species